CAGGCCUAACACAUGCAAGUCGAACGAACACGGUUUACGGAUACUUCGGUUGAAGUAAACCAUCUGUUAGUGGCAAACGGGUGAGUAACGCAUAAGUAACCUACCCUUCAGAUCGGGAUAACGGUUCGAAAGGAUCGCUAAUACCGAAUACUCUCCUUAGAUCUUCGGGUCUUUGGAGGAAAUGUUUUUUCGCUGAAGAAUGGGCUUAUGUCUGAUUAGCUUGUUAGUAGGGUAAAGGCCUACCAAGGCGACGAUCAGUAGCUGGUCUUAGAGGAUGAUCAGCCACACUGGGACUGAGAUACGGCCCAGACUCCUACGGGAGGCAGCAGUGAGGAAUAUUGCGCAAUGGGCGAAAGCCUGACGCAGCAACGCCGCGUGAGCGAUGACGCCUCUAGGGGCGUAAAGCUCUGUCAAGAGGGAAGAUUAUGACGGUACCUCUGAAGGAAGUCACGGCUAAUUACGUGCCAGCAGCCGCGGUAAUACGUAAGUGGCUAGCGUUAUCCGGAAUUAUUGGGCAUAAAGCGUACGCAGGCGGUUGUCUAAGUCAAAUGUUAAAUCCUGUCGCUCAACGAUAGUCCGCAUUUGAAACUGGGCAACUAGAGAUUAGAAGAGGAAAGCGGAACUCACAGUGUAGCGGUGAAAUGCGUAG
rnacentral:rRNA from 1 species